UCAAAAAAACACUUGUUUUUUUACUGUGUGGUUGCAAAAAACAUCUGGGGUGCAGUCUCCUCGUUUCUUUCCAUAGAAGUAGGAUCUAGCUACUUUUCCAUUGCCAAAUUUUGGUCUGCUAACAAGAAACAUGAAGUACUUAAUGCAUUUUGUGCUUGUGUCUUGUGGAGCUUGUGGAAAACUAGAAAUAAACAUGUUUUUGACAAUGCAGUCUGGUUUGAUGUUAAACAGAUCUGGUGGCUGAUCUGGAGGACCCUCAAGAGGUGGAUGAUUCUGUACACCAAGAACUCGCUCAAGAAAAUGCAGGGGAUACUGCAUUGGAUAUCCUGCAUACUCAAAGCCCCCCCUCCAAUUGACUUUGGGGUGAAAAGGAACUUGAUGAGAACUGGAGGUGCCACUCAUGCUUCUUUCCUCUCCAAGCUUAAUUUUGGGGCUUGCAAAGAUGGGUUCCAGAGUCCAGACUCCUCAAGGCCGAGUGAUCCACCAUCAAAAAAGGCGAUCCAGGUGACCUCAAGUCCUGCGUCGCCUCUCGACUGGCCUGGCACACCAACUCAACCCCUCAAGAAGAUGAAGGGGGAACUCAUGGAGAAAAUCAAGGAGGUCCGCAUGAUGCUUGCUGCAGAAGACAUGAGGAUGCUGGCUGAUGUAGAUGGAAUGCGGAUCUCACUGCUGUAG
rnacentral:rRNA from 1 species